rnacentral:rRNA from 1 species
UACGGAGGGAGCUAGCGUUGUUCGGAAUUACUGGGCGUAAAGCGCACGUAGGCGGCUAUUCAAGUCGGGGGUGAAAGCCCGGGGCUCAACCCCGGAACUGCCCUCGAAACUAGGUAGCUAGAAUCUUGGAGAGGCGAGUGGAAUUCCGAGUGUAGAGGUGAAAUUCGUAGAUAUUCGCAAGAACACCAGUGGCGAAGGCGGCUCACUGGCCCGGAACUGACGCUGAGACGCGAAAGCGUGGGGAGCAAACAGG